UUAGUAAAGAGUAAGAUACUUUUAGUUUAACAUAAAACAGCCCCGAAAUCACCAUCGCCAAACCCACCAGACUCCAUGUAAAUAACCACUACUUUUAGCGUGUAUAGGAAAGCAUAUCUCCACCAGACUCCAUGUAAAUAAUCACUACUUUUAGCGUGUAU